GACGAACGCUGGCGGCGUGCUUAACACAUGCAAGUCGAACGGAAAGGCCCUGCUUUUGUGGGGUGCUCGAGUGGCGAACGGGUGAGUAACACGUGAGUAACCUGCCCUUGACUUUGGGAUAACUUCAGGAAACUGGGGCUCAUACCGGAUAGGAGCUCUUGCUGCAUGGUGGGGGUUGGUAAGUUUCGGCGGUUGGGGAUGUACUCGCGGCCUAUCAGCUUGUUGGUGGGGUAGUGGCUUACCAAGGCUUUGACGGGUAGCCGGCCUGAGAGGGUGACCGGCCACAUUGGGACUGAGAUACGGCCCAGACUCCUACGGGAGGCAGCAGUGGGGAAUAGUGCACAAUGGGCGGAAGCCUGAUGCAGCAACGCCGCGUGCGGGAUGACGGCCUUCGGGUUGUAAACCGCUUUCGCCUGUGACGAAGCGUGAGUGACGGUAAUGGGUAAAGAAGCACCGGCUAACUACGUG
rnacentral:rRNA from 1 species